ACUAGGAUUAGAUACCCUAUUAUUAAAAUUUAAAAUUAUAAUACUAAAAUAGUAGAUAAUUAUUUAUUAAAACUUAAAUAAUUUGGCGGUAUUUUAGUUUAUUUAGAGGAAUCUGUUUAAUAAUUGAUAUUCCACGAAUAAAUUUACUUAAUUUAUUAUUUUGUAUAUCGUUGUUAUAAAAAUAUUUUUUAAUAAAAUUAAUAUU
rnacentral:rRNA from 1 species